rnacentral:rRNA from 1 species
GACGAACGCUGGCGGCGUGCUUAACACAUGCAAGUCGAACGGAAAGGCCCUGCUUUUGUGGGGUGCUCGAGUGGCGAACGGGUGAGUAACACGUGAGUAACCUGCCCUUGACUUUGGGAUAACUUCAGGAAACUGGGGCUAAUACCGGAUAGGGGCUCCUGCUGCAUGGUGGGGGUGGGAAAGUUUCGGCGGUUGGGGAUGGACUCGCGGCUUAUCAGCUUGUUGGUGGGGUAGUGGCUUACCAAGGCUUUGACGGGUAGCCGGCCUGAGAGGGUGACCGGCCACAUUGGGACUGAGAUACGGCCCAGACUCCUACGGGAGGCAGCAGUGGGGAAUAUUGCACAAUGGGCGGAAGCCUGAUGCAGCAACGCCGCGUGCGGGAUGACGGCCUUCGGGUUGUAAACCGCUUUCGCCUGUGACGAAGCGUGAGUGACGGUAAUGGGUAAAGAAGCACCGGCUAACUACGUG